rnacentral:rRNA from 1 species
CCACUGCUGUUGGGGUUCGGCUAAGCCAUGCGAGUGGAGGGCGCGGUCGAAAGAUCGUGGCCCCGCACACGGCUCAGUAACACGUCGUCAACCCACCUUAGGGUGGGGGACAACCUCGGAAAACUGAGGAUAAUCCCCCAUAGGCGGGGGAGGCUAGAAUGCGCCCCCGCUGAAAGCUCAGGCGCCCUAGGACGGGACGGCGGCCUAUCAGGUAGUUGGUGGUGUGACG